rnacentral:misc_RNA from 1 species
AAGUCGUAACAAGGUUUCCGUAGGUGAACCUGCGGAAGGAUCAUUAACACGUAUCCAACGUUAAACCCCCCUGUGAACCUUUAGUGUGCUCCCUCAUUCUGUUGGAACGUGGCAAUCCCUGGUAAAUCAUCGCCGAACAGUUUUGAUUCAGGGACUUCUGCAAAAGCGCAGUCACGAUCGCUAGAGGCCGACACGGCCGGCGACCGGGUCACCGGGCUCACGCCCCCCUAUCACCCCUUUGCAUGAAAACGGGCCUGCGCUUAAUUGUGCGGCCAUAAACCGAACAAUUGUUAACAAUGGAUAUCUUGGUUCUC